UGGGGAAUUUUGGACAAUGGGCGCAAGCCUGAUCCAGCCAUGCCGCGUGCGGGAAGAAGGCCUUCGGGUUGUAAACCGCUUUUGUCAGGGAAGAAAAGCCUUUGGUUAAUACCUAGAGGUGAUGACGGUACCUGAAGAAUAAGCACCGGCUAACUACGUGCCAGCAGCCGCGGUAAUACGUAGGGUGCAAGCGUUAAUCGGAAUUACUGGGCGUAAAGCGUGCGCAGGCGGUGAUGCAAGACAGAGGUGAAAUCCCCGGGCUCAACCUGGGAACUGCCUUUGUGACUGCAUGACUAGAGUACGGUAGAGGGGGAUGGAAUUCCGCGUGUAGCAGUGAAAUGCGUAGAUAUGCGGAGGAACACCGAUGGCGAAGGCAAUCCCCUGGACCUGUACUGACGCUCAUGCACGAAAGCGUGGGGAGCAAACA
rnacentral:rRNA from 1 species